AAGAACGUUUUGUGUGGAUCUCACCUGUGGGACCAUCUUUUUCUAUCGAUGAAUGGGCACACAUGGAUGUAUGGUUGAAGACUAUACCAUUGAUGCCCCUUUGGAUAAAAGUAGAGCUGGUCUGACCAUUUAAACUUUUCUUUCAUCAUUAUGUGUUUUUACACCUUAUAAAUUUGAUGAACUUUAACCAUUUUUGCUUUUAGCCCUGUUUGAGGGAUACCAUUCCGAUGAUAAAAAUGCAAUUGCCAAAGUAAUUUUUAGUCUGUCCAGAUACAUAAGGAUCCAUCAGAGGGAUGUUUCAGAUCAUCAAAAUAUACAAUCAUGUGUACUUGGCUUGUCUAUAAUUGCUUGAGCCAAGAAAUGGGCCUCAACCACUAAUUAUCCUUAUAUCGAAUGCUUACACAGAUGCAUUGAGGUCAGAAAGCCUCGAGCUUGUGCAACCCAGCUCUCUUACAAUCUAACACAGGCCUGGAUAGAAGGUGUGUAAUAUCCAAGCUUUCCAUCAGGUGGUUCCCCACUUCUUGAUGCUAUGGUCCAAAAAUCAGGCAAGUCCACUCCAUGUAAGGAUCACCCACAGCAAGGGCCCCACACCCUUGGCUUAUUAUUAUUAUUAUUAUUUUUCUUACCAAUCUUCAUUGCUUCAAUAUAAUGAAGGGUUUCCAUAAUGUUUGACUUGUAUUAUGUAUUUAUCUUUGGUUGUAAGAUGCUUAUUCAAAGUGGAAGUAACUAUAUAGAGUGUAGGCUCAGGGGUCUACAAUGCUUACAUGGAUGCAUGAUCAAAGCUACUCAUCAGUUUUAUCCUUGAAGAAAAAAGGGAAGAAAAAUCUGUCCACAUAUUUAUAAAAAAAAAUUCCAUAGCUAUUCUCCUCCAUCUGCUAGUUACAGGUAUUUAUUGGUUCCUUUUAUUUUAUAUCAAAUUUGUUUUUUGGUUAUUUUAUUUUGUUUUGUAAACUUUUGUCUUUGCAUUGGUAACUGAAGGUGGAGCAUUGGUAAUAGAGGGGGGCUUUGCUGCUUCAUAUGGGGAUGGAUAUGGACUUCAUUUGGUAUGGUUGUUUUUGCAGGAAAUAUUUAUGACUGAAAAUUUAAUUUUAGAUAGUGUAACUUAGAUUAUGAGUGUACAUACUGUUUUAUUACCUGACCUCUAUGCAUGGCAGGGUGGUGCUGACAAAGGUCCUCUAUAUGGCAUGAGUUCUCUUGUUCUUGGGGUGCAUUUGAGAAGUCUCGCCUUGGGCGUCGCUGAAGUCCGUUGAUUUUUUUUUUUUUUUUCCUUCUGCUUUUCCUUGUGUCUCAAUUUGUAAAUUUUUUGUCCAUUAUGUAAGCUUUCAUUCUUAGGCCCUCUAUAAAUGAGGCUGGUUGUAAAUGAUUUAUAAGUUGUGUUUGAAUGCUAAUUUAAGCUUGUAAAGGUCUUUUGAUUUAGAAGA